CUAAGAAUCUUCCGCAAUGGGGGAAACCCUGACGGAGCGACGCCGCGUGGACGAUGAAGGCCGAAAGGUUGUAAAGUCCUUUUCCAGGUGAAGAAUAAUGUGGGGAGUGGAAAGCCCUGCAGAUGACGUUAGUCUGGGAAUAAGCCCCGGCCAAUUACGUG
rnacentral:rRNA from 1 species